UACGGAGGGUGCAAGCAUUAAUCGGAAUUAUUGGGCGUAAAGGGCGCGUAGGCGGUUUUGUAAGUCAGAUGUGAAAUUCCAAGACUCAAUCUUGGACCUGCAUUUGAAACUGCAAAUCUGGAGGAUAGGCGGAGAAAGCGGAAUUCCACAUGUAGCGGUGAAGUGCGUGGAUAUGUGGAAGAACACCGGUGGCGAAAGCGGCUUUCUAGCUUAUUCCUGACGCUGAGGCGCGAGAGCAAGGGGAGCAAACAGG
rnacentral:rRNA from 1 species